ensembl:lncRNA
UGUGUGUUAUCUCUUUAGCAGACUGAAGCUCUCAAUUCAUUACAGCUUGCAGAAAGGAAGCAUGCAGAUUAGAAGAGCACCUAUUUGGUGUGCUUGUAGGAUACAGAGAUCUCAAUUUUAAAACCAUCCCUAUUCAAGCACACUAAUGUCUUCUCUGGAAUACAUCCCCACACCAAAACAGCUGGUACUGUGUGUGCUUCAUACUGACUGAUAGGGAAGAAGAUAUUCCCCAUACCAUCUUCUCCUGCCUGCUAAAGCAUCAAACAACCAAGGAUUGGAGAAAUCUUCUGUGGCUCCUCUUAUAUACCCUGAGGAAGUUUCGCCAGAGGUGAACUAGAUCUUGCUCAAGUGUUUGCAUAGGAAGUUGGCCACCUGGAGGAUGUGAGAAGGAGUUGAAUUUAGUAAGAUACACUGCACGGAUAAAGCAUGAUGAGUCAAAGUGAGCAGUAUCUAGAGCAUGACCAAGGAACAGUAGAAUAAAGGAUUCAGCCUGAAAAGUCAUAUAUAUAUUUAUAUAAAGGCUACAACCUGCCGGAGGGCUCUCACAGAGGAUGCUCAAGGAGGGGAUCCUGCAGUGCUAGAAGAAGGAAGAUGGGCUAGUAACAGACACAGCUCCACAGGAUGUAUGCACCUGUGUGUAUAUGACUGUUUGUGCAUACUGGAAAUUUUUUUUUGGACUAAUCAUGGAUAGGUUUUAGAAAUUUGUAUAUUUAACAGCUGAUGAAUGCCUAGUAAUGUGGUUUGUAUGCUGUUUUACUGAUAUUAAUCUUGAAUGCAUAGCUCUGUGAUUGCCAUUUAAUUUUUUAAUUAAGAAAAAAAAAAGAAAACAACUUAGAUGCCAAUCUGAGCUGAGCUAUGUGAGCAGAGCAGUUUAUUUUCUCAUUGCAUUCUAUGACUUCCAUAUCAAGUAUGGCUGGCAUGGGCACCAAUUAUAUUUGGUAGCACUCCAGGAAGCUCUGUGAGGGAUUAUUUACUCUACUUCUUGGCACAUCUGUUUUUAUAAUACGACCAUAAGUUCUGUCACCGAUUUCAUUUCUUCAGUGUGAAGUGGUGAUGACAGGCAGAUCUCCAAUUCCCUGCAGUUACGUAGUUUGCAGAAUUUACCACUGAAGUACUGCCUGUUGAGGAAAAAUAUUCCAGAAUCCACAUACUGAUUAAAUACGAGUUAUUUCUAGUUGUAAAAGUAAACUCUUUGGAGUGCUAGUAGUGAACCUGAUGAUAAAAUAAUGCUUGCAG